rnacentral:rRNA from 1 species
CCUACGGGUGGCUGCAGUGAGGAAUAUUGGUCAAUGGGCGCGAGCCUGAACCAGCCAAGUAGCGUGAAGGAUGACUGCCCUACGGGUUGUAAACUUCUUUUAUCAAGGAAUAAAGUGAGGCACGUGUGCCUUUUUGUAUGUAUUUUAUGAAUAAGCAUCGGCUAACUCCGUGCCAGCAGCCGCGGUAAUACGGAGGAUCCGAGCGUUAUCCGGAUUUAUUGGGUUUAAAGGGAGCGUAGGGGGGUUGUUAAGUCAGUUGUGAAAGGUUGCGGCUCAACCGGAAAAUUGCAAUUGAUACUGGCAGCCUUGAGUACAGGAGAGGUAGGCGGAAUUCGUGGUGUAGCGGUGAAAUGCUUAGAUAUCACGAAGAACUCCGAUUGCGAAGGCAGCAUACUA